AACGAACGCUGGCGGCAGGCCUAACACAGGCAAGGCGAGCGCCCGUGCGCUGUGCCGGCGGCCUGGUGCGUAGCGCGGGGGAAGAUGCCCUUCUGUACCGAAUCUCGUCGCUAAACUGAGAGUAAUACCCCAUACGCCCUGGGGGGGAAAGAAUUAUCGUGGAAGGAUGAGCCCGCGUUGGAUUAGGUGCUUGGUGGGGUAAUGGCCUACCAACCCGCCGACCCGUAGCUGGUUUGAGAGGAUGAUCAGCCAGACUGGAACUGGGACCCGGCCCAGACUCCUACGGGAGGCAGCAGUAGGGAAUCUUAGCCAAUGGGGGCAACCGUGAUCCAGCCAUGCCGCGUGGGUGAUGAAGGCCUUAGGUUUGUAAAGCUCUUUGAGCUGCGGUGAUCGUCACGGUCCCAGCAGCACAAGCCCCCGCUCGCUACGUG
rnacentral:rRNA from 1 species